GCUGGGCGUGGUGGCUCACGCCUGUAAUCCCAGCUACUCAGGAGGCUGAGGCAGGAGAAUCGCUUGAACCCGGGAGGCAGAGGUUGCAGUGAGCCGAGAUUGUACCACUGUAACUCCAGCCUGGGGUACAGAGCGAGACUCUGUCUCAA
ensembl:misc_RNA Metazoa_SRP Metazoan signal recognition particle RNA